rnacentral:pre_miRNA from 1 species
AAUAAGUACAGUUUUGUGCUGUUUAUGUCCAACGUUUGACUGUUUGUCUUAUUUGAAUUUUUUUAUUAGUAUUUUUAUGUUAUUAAAUGAUAAAACAUGAAUAGUACUUUAUGUGUGACUAAUUUUUUAAAAAAUUAUAUUUUUUUUUGAAUAAGACGAACAAUCAAACGUUGAACACGGAUACUCACGGCUGCACUUAUU